CCUACGGGAGGCAGCAGUGAGGAAUAUUGGUCAAUGGCCGGAAGGCUGAACCAGCCAAGCAGCGUGAAGGACGAAGGUGCCAAGCAUUGUAAACUUCUUUUGUCAGGGGACAAAAUCAGGCUCGAGAGCCUGACCGCGGGUACUUUAUGAAUAAGCAUCGGCUAACUCCGUGCCAGCAGCCGCGGUAAUACGGAGGAUGCGAGCGUUAUCCGGUUUUAUUGGGUUUAAAGGGAGCGUGGGCGGACGGUUAAGUCAGCGGUAAAAGCCGGGGGCCCAACCCCGGCGUGCCGUUGAAACUGGCAGUCUUGAGAUGUCUAGAGGUAUGCGGAAUUCGUAGUGUAGCGGUGAAAUGCUUAGAUAUCGCGCAGAACUCCGAUUGCGAAGGCAGCAUACCGGCGGCGAUCUGACGCUGAGGCACGAAAGCGUGGGUAUCGAACAGGAUUAGAUACCCGAGUAGUC
rnacentral:rRNA from 1 species